AAGAAAGGUUCAAGGCUAAGACCGCCACGUCCUGUGGCAACGCCUUUGUGACCAACAUCUGUUGG
rnacentral:sRNA from 1 species